rnacentral:tRNA from 1 species
GGUCGAUGGGCAGGCGCCUCUCUGGGGGAAAUGGCUUGAGCAGGAUGACUUCCGACUGCACCUUCGGUGGUGGU